CCUUUUGGGUGUGAUUUGUGGAGCGUGAGGAGUUAAACGCCUUCAUGCUUGCAUAUUCGUGCACUUUGGGUGUACUUGCCCGUAUGGUUGGUUAACAUCAAUUUUGGUGGUCAUAAAAUGACUGGAGGAAUGUAGCUUCGAUCUUGUAUUGAAGUGUUAUAGCCUUCGGUAGAUGUGAUGAUCGAGAUUGAGGAUUGCAACGGAUACCCUUCGGGGCUACCUGUCUGAUCUCUGAUCGUUGCUCUGGUGCCGAAAGCUUGCUUACGGUUAUCAAAGUCGAUGGUCAAUAGGUUAGAACGGGUUAAA
rnacentral:rRNA from 1 species